CUAUCGUUCCAGGGGUUGAGCCCUGAGAGGUUAGCUUUAGAAACGUACUUCCUUGCUGCUUAGAAUCCACGCGCACUAGUAAGUCAGAUACACGAUCAGCUACUCAAAGGAAAAAACACAACAAAUCUAAUAAAACAAAUGAGCCUGGAUACAAACGAAGGCCUGACUUCUAACUACCAUGAAGCCCUCACUAUACUGCCAGAUGAUGCUCCCCGUCGAUAUGAAACGGGAACACAAGGAUAUUCAUUUAAGUAGCCCGUCCUAGCUGGAAAUGGAGUGACGAUGUGGAGUAUCUGGAGCUUCCCCCUGAAACAGAUCGCUCUUCAUGGCUACAGGCUAUGGGAGCCUUCAAGGACGUGGUUAAGCAGCAUGUUUGAGCUAUUGUCAACAUAAGGAACCGGACGGGUCCAAACGGCAGAAGUUCCCCCCCGAUAAUGGGUGGAAGAAAUCCACCCGGAGAGCUGGUGAGGAUGCUGUGCCUGCUUUGAUCCCAUUGCCUUUCAUCCUGACCCACAUCCUGCCUCCGUGAUGCAGUAUCACAGAUUUAGUUUGGAGACUUUACUCCAGCAUGCAGGUUUUUGCCCAGGUUGGAGAAGAGCAGCAUGUCAGAAGUGAUGAUCAACAACAUGAUCGGUGCUGCAUGUCAUUCACAGCCUCCACAGUGAAGACUCCGGGACACCUCAGGCAGCUCUGCAGCAACACAGGGGGAGCCGGUUUACUAAGUUAAUCUUCAAAUACAUGUGGGCUUCGCUGUCAAGUUCCCGACACGUACUGUAAUAAUUCUGCACAUCUCUAUCGUUAUUUAUUUCAGCCCUCUUCAUACCUUCCAACAUUUUUCUUUUUUGUGUACAUCCCAGUAAUUGCUUUUACAGCGGCUGCAGACGUGUCUGGAUUCCUCUGAAGGGAUUACAGUUUCUGUGAUUGCCUUGCAUCAUCAGUGGCUCAUUUUAAAUAUCUGCGUGUUUCCUGUAGUUCUGUCAGGCAGCAGUGGGUCUAUGCUUGCUAAUGUGUGUGUAUGGUCUCAGUUGGAGCUUAUUGCUUGAUAUGAAUUUCAAAUAAUUGUAAUAAAAUAUGUAUGAAUUAAAAAAAAAA